rnacentral:rRNA from 1 species
GACGAACGCUGGCGGCGUGCUUAACACAUGCAAGUCGAACGGAAAGGCCCUGCUUUUGUGGGGUGCUCGAGUGGCGAACGGGUGAGUAACACGUGAGUAACCUGCCCUUGACUUUGGGAUAACUUCAGGAAACUGGGGCUAAUACCGGAUAGGAGCUCCUGCUGCAUGGUGGGGGUUGGAAAGUUUCGGCGGUUGGGGAUGGACUCGCGGCUUUUCAGCUUGUUGGUGGGGUAGUGGCUUACCAAGGCUUUGACGGGUAGCCGGCCUGAGAGGGUGACCGGCCACAUUGGGACUGAGGUACGGCCCAGACACCUACGGGAGGCAGCAGUUGGGAAUAUUGCACAAUGGGCGGAAGCCUGAUGCAGCAACGCCGCGUGCGGGAUGACGGCCUUCGGGUUGUAACCCGCUUUCGCCUGUGACGAAGCGUGAGUGACGGUAAUGGGUAAAGAAGCACCGGCUAACUACGUG